GAUAAAGUGGCUGCAUUCAAAGCCAAACUGUAAUUAUGGAUCAAUAAAUCAACAUUGAGGAUUUUGACAUAUUUCAAACAUUAGCAAGGAUUUAAAUAGAGAUUGAGCGAGGACCUUUUUUUGUCUCAGCUGGUGCGUGAUCAUCUAUUUCAGUCUUCAAAAUACUUUGACCAUUACUUUCCAACUACAACAGACCCCCAAACUGAUAAGAAAUAGAUCGGUGAUCCAUUUGUGAAUAAACCAAGGGAAUCAACUUUGUGCUAGAAGAGGAUCAACUGCUAGAAAUUGCAAGCGACAGUAGCCUCAAAAGUGGUUUUCUUCAUUGACAGUAACCAAAUGAGAUUAUAGAGGAGACCAGACAUGUGCAGCACACUCAGAGUUGCUGUCUCUACAGAUGGAACUGUCAAGUUUCAAGAAAACAAGUUAGAGGCUGCCAUUAAUUCUCCAUUAUGCAAAGGUCUCCAGGACCCCCUCUCCUCACACCGGAUGCCACAGCAGGACCUGAAGGCGGCCCAGGCUGACCACCCCUCGGGGUGAUUCGAGGUGUUCUGUUUCCAUAUUCACCCAGUUGCCGGGCUUUGAAUGUGUGUCUCCUGUCCCUGCCUCCACCCCUCUGGCCACCAGUGAUGCCCAACAAGGCCUGGCUGAUUUGUGAGGUCUGAGAGUCAUGGCUUUUAGCUCGGGUGACCAGAAGAAAGUGG
rnacentral:lncRNA from 1 species